rnacentral:rRNA from 1 species
AUUGAACGCUGGCGGCAGGCCUAACACAUGCAAGUCGAGCGGAUGACGGGAGCUUGCUCCUUGAUUCAGCGGCGGACGGGUGAGUAAUGCCUAGGAAUCUGCCUGGUAGUGGGGGACAACGUUUCGAAAGGAACGCUAAUACCGCAUACGUCCUACGGGAGAAAGCAGGGGACCUUCGGGCCUUGCGCUAUCAGAUGAGCCUAGGUCGGAUUAGCUAGUAGGCGAGGUAAUGGCUCACCUAGGCGACGAUCCGUAACUGGUCUGAGAGGAUGAUCAGUCACACUGGAACUGAGACACGGUCCAGACUCCUACGGGAGGCAGCAGUGGGGAAUAUUGGACAAUGGGCGAAAGCCUGAUCCAGCCAUGCCGCGUGUGUGAAGAAGGUCUUCGGAUUGUAAAGCACUUUAAGUUGGGAGGAAGGGCAGUAAGCUAAUACCUUGCUGUUUUGACGUUACCGACAGAAUAAGCACCGGCUAACUCUGUGCCAGCAGCCGCCGUAAGAC